CCUACGGGAGGCAGCAGUGGGGAAUAUUGGACAAUGGGGGGAACCCUGAUCCAGCCAUGCCGCGUGUGUGAAGAAGGCCCUCGGGUUGUAAAGCACUUUCAGUGAGGAAGAACGCCUGGUGGUUAAUACCCAUCAGGAAAGACAUCACUCACAGAAGAAGCACCGGCUAACUCCGUGCCAGCAGCCGCGGUAAUACGGAGGGUGCGAGCGUUAAUCGGAAUUACUGGGCGUAAAGCGCGCGUAGGUGGCUUGAUAAGCCGGUUGUGAAAGCCCCGGGCUCAACCUGGGAACGGCAUCCGGAACUGUCAAGCUAGAGUGCAGGGGAGGAAGGUAGAAUUCCCGGUGUAGCGGUGAAAUGCGUAGAGAUCGGGAGGAAUACCAGUGGCGAAGGCGGCCUUCUGGACUGACACUGACACUGAGGUGCGAAAGCGUGGGUAGCAAACAGGAUUAGAUACCCCUGUAGGC
rnacentral:rRNA from 1 species